rnacentral:piRNA from 1 species
GUGGGCUGGAGAGAUGGCUCAGGGG